rnacentral:tRNA from 5 species
CUCUUACUUUUAAAGGAAAAAAGCAAUCCAUUGGCCUUAGGAGCCACCACUCUUGGUGCAACUCCAAGUAAAAGUAC